CACACUCUAAUUAGCACGUGUGAUGCAAUUUUCAAAUAGAAGUUGUCAACACAAAAAUGGUGUGUAAUAAAAAUACCUCAAAAAAUUUAGGUGUGUAAUAAUAUUCCCGUAAUUUUCCGGUGUGUAAGAGGAUGACUACAAGAUUUGGUGUCAUUUUAUGUAUUUCGCCCAAAUCAAACUCAAAUUUUCACUCUUUAAGUUGACGAUUGCAAAGGGGACACUAAUCACGGCGGCCGAUUCUCCAAGCUCAAAUUCAAACGCCGUCCACUAUCUUUCAAAAUUAUAUUGCCGCUUUGGCUCUCAGGCAGUGAUGAUGUCAACACCAGCGAGGAAAAGAUUAAUGAGGGAUUUCAAGCGGUUACUACACGAUCCUCCUGAAGGCAUCAAUGGUGCACCUUAUGACAUCAAUAUAAUGCUAUGGAAUGCUGUCAUAUUCGGCCCUGAUGACACUCCCUGGGAUGGAGGCACGUUUAAGCUGACUCUUCAAUUUACAGAGCAUUAUCCUAACAGGCCACCAAAAGUGUACUUUAUGUCCAGGAUGUUCCAUCCAAAUAUUUAUGCUGAUGGAAGUAUUUCUUUGGACAUCUUGCAAAAUGAGUGGAGACCUAUAUAUGAUGUAGCUUCUAUACUUAUCUCAAUACAGUCGUUGCUCUGUGAUCCAAGCACUAACUCAGCAGCUAAUGCAGAAGCAGCACGGCUGUUUAGCGAGAACAAGUGCGAAUACAACAGGAAGGUGCGUGAAAUAGUUGAGCAAAGCUGGACAGCAGACUGUCUCUGUUGCUGACUCUGUUACAUAGUGUUCCCCUCGUCUCUUGUCUGCAUCAAAGUGAGAUGUUUUAGGUGUUUUUCUACAUUUAUAAUAAUGUAGGGCGAUAAUGUCCUUUUAUUGCUGUUAGGAGCUCUGAUUUUCUUUAUCUUCAUCUUUUGCUGCUCGACUAUGAGACUCUGUACGUAUUAUGUAUUAUAUCCAAUUAUGUGAAAUUGAAGGAAGCUCUUAUUCCAUAAAUUAUAAGGAAACCUCAACGAGUAAAAGGAAAAAUAUCGCAUAGCGGUUUUGUUAUCAAUUGAAGUCCCUCUGAAGGUACAUCACUUGCAACUGCUUAUGCGUCUGUCGUGGUGACUUGAACCAAGUAGAUUCUAGGUAUAAGUGGUCCUUCAACAGACUUAUUGAGGAAAUUACAAAUCAGUGAUCAAUCCCUCUAAUUUUACAUCAUUCUGAUUGGAGAAUAUUUCUCUGCCUGUCUGAGCUUUAAGAUUUACAUGCACAUUUUCAUGGAUCCCGUGCUGACACUUAUUAUGAUAAACUUCAUGGAGGUCCAUCCAUGGCAAUCGACAUCCCGGGAGAUGCUUGAUCUUUAUAAAAUUGUAAAUGUUGCAAGAACCAGUUCGUAGUUUGUGCUCAGGAGAUGCUGAGUGGUUGAGACAAUGGUAUAGUAACCUGAAGAUCUCCAGGUUAAACAACAUUGGUGGUGUACCUCCAGCUGAUUCUCGGUUUCCCAGACUCAAUAACUGCAGCUGCCCACCAGAAUCAUCAAUGCGAAA